AACAAAAACAUGUCCUUUUGGUAUUUAUAUAAGGUCUGACCUGCCCACUGAUUAAUUAAAUGGCCGCAGUAUUUUGACUGUGCAAAGGUAGCAUAAUCAUUAGUUUUUUAAUUAAAAGCUUGUAUGAAGGGUUGGACGAGGUAAAAUCUGUCUCUAUUUAAUUUAUUUUAGAAUUUAAUUUUUAAGUUAAAAAGCUUAAAUUAUUAUAAAAGACGAGAAGACCCUAUAGAUCUUUAUAUUAUUAUAAAUAGUUUUAAUUAGGAAUAUUUUAUUUUUUAUUUAUAUUAAUAUUUUAUUGGGGUAAUAAAAAGAUUAAUAAAAUUCUUUUUAAAAUUUAAUACUAAUUAGUAAUUAUGCGAUCCAAUAUUUUUGAUUGUAAGAUUAAGUUACCUUAGGGAUAACAGCGUAAUUUUUUUUGAGAGUUCAUAUCGAUAAAAAAGUUUGCGACCUCGAUGUUG
rnacentral:rRNA from 1 species